ACGGAGGCAUAAAUAACAACACCGCAAAUGUAUGAUAAUGGGUUCUUAUUUGCAAUGUAUUUUGUGUUUAAUUUAGAAAGAGAAAAGUCAAGAUCUGCUGCGUGCAUAUUUUAAAGGAUGAGAUGACAUAAAGUUCAUAUAAUAAUUGAUUUAUUCCUUAAGUUAUUUUUCUAGAGAGAGUGAUCUGCCCCGGUCUGCGGAGGAGGCAACAUUUUUGCAGUUCAGCUCUGAAAUGUAACGGAAAGGCGGAGGGGCUGAUUGGACCACGUUGAUGUUGGUACAGGACCAAAGAGCUAAACGGUGACUGCAGACUCAACUCAGUUUGGGAGGUGGUUUGGAGACCUUGUUUGUGACUUUAGACCUAGGUGGUGAGGCGGAGGGUUACGAUGGCUGUGAGCAGGUUUGACAUAGAUGCGCCGCGGUGGGAUCAGUCCACGUUUAUUGGCAGACUGAAGCACUUUGUCAACAUCACAGACUGGAGGACAGCACUACUGCCAGACUCACGACUGGACGAGUCUAAAGCACUGGUGGAGAACUGAAGUCAGAUAGGAGUGGCCUAUUUAACUGCAACUAGAACUGCACUAGCUACUGCUGUGGGACUCAACCUCUACACAAAGAGAGUUCCUGAAUGGCAUCGCUCUAACAGAUGAGAAUGGAAACAAACUGGGUCAUUCCAAGGUAAUGUCUGAAUAAUUAAAUAUUCUACUAAAUAUCGUAUUUCUGACUGUUAUACAAGAGCAGAAAAAUUAAAAAUGUCCUCUUCCUCGCGACAGAAAGCAGCUGUGAAGGGCAUCACCCAGGUGGUCAUUUCCCAGGUUACCAUGGCAGCACCGGGCAUGAGUAGUGUCAGAGGUUUAAGAGGGAGGGCUGUAGAAUUUGAGAUCAGUCCUCGCUCCAUAGACAAUGGAAAGUGGAGCGUGAUCCUGUUACUCCCUACAAUGACUCAUUCCUCUCCUUCUUUUUCCACUUGCCACUCCUUUAUCUACUUUCUCUCCUCCUGUGCACCCUCUCUUCUCCUAGUCAUUCUCCCCAUCAUCAUGCAGAGACUGGAGUAUAACAAGUUUAUGCAGUUGGGCCUUUAAUCAAAACACCAAGUUCUGCUACUAGACAUGCAUAGGCUAACUAGCUACAAUGUUAUCGAAUAAACAUCCAGAGUUACAGUUCUGUUGACUAAAUAUCCAGUUACAUUGUUCUUGACUAAGUGUGCUUAGAGUGCAGAUUGAGGUGCUGUUUGGAGCGAUAACCAGCCCUGUCUUUCUGUUAACAGAGGAUCACCUUUGUCCACGGACCUUAACAAGUGAUAAUGGUGGGAGUGUUCCUGGUCUUCAUGGUGCCGGCAGCCUGGUCCCUGUUCUCUCAGCAAUGCUCCAUGGGCAGUGUACAAUAUGUCUACUUCAACAAGGGCCUCUGAACACACACACCUGCCUUCUUAAUCAUCAGCCAAACAGGGAGAGCAUCUGAAGAAUAAAAAAAAUACAAAAUGAGCCAAUCAGCAUCCUCGGCGAUGUCCAAUAGGAACGCUUGUAGGAGAAAUAGCUUUCUCCUGGUUUAUCUUUGUUUAUUUUCAACAAAUCUUUGUGAUUGAAGUGGAGAUGUUCUCCAGAAGAUAGAGAUGUGCCACUGUACUCCAAACGGUGCCUUUAUCCACGCUGGAGUACAGUGGCACAUCCCAUCCCUGCAUUGAGGUGCGUUUUUGACCCAUAUCUCAUGACGGCUCCACGUGUCUUAAUGUAACCAUGACUGCAUUCUGACACCAGUGCAGCUCGGUUUAAACAAGUGUAACGCUAGGGUCAGUCUCUUCUGGCAAUUAAGUGUGUGUAAUUAAUAAAUAUAUAUAUAUA